rnacentral:rRNA from 1 species
UAUGUGAUCGUCUCUCGCAUAUCAAUAAGCGGAGGAAAAGAAACUAACAAGGAUUCCCCUAGUAACGGCGAGUGAAGCGGGAAGAGCUCAAAUUUGAAAUCUUAAAGGGUUUCCCUUUACGAAUUGUAGUUUAAAGAAGUGUUUUCUGUUGAGGUUUUGGUAAAAGUUCUUUGGAAUAGGACAUCAUAGAGGGUGAGAAUCCCGUAUUUGACCUUUACUUUCAACUUUGUGAUACACUUUCAAAGAGUCGGAUUGUUUGGGAAUGCAGUCCAAAAUGGGUGGUAAAUUUCAUCUAAAGCUAAAUAUUGGCGAGAGACCGAUAGCGAACAAGUACCGUGAGGGAAAGAUGAGAAGAACUUUGAAAAGAGAGUUAAACAGUACGUGAAAUUGUCAAAAGGGAAGCGUUUGACACCAGUGUUGUUUUUCUGAAAAUCAAUUAAAGAACUGUUUAUGCUAAGUUGUUUAGACUUUAUCAGCUAUCUGUUUAGUUUUGAGCUUUUCUUUAAUGCACUUUUCAGUUAACAAGUCAACAUCAAUUUCUUUUGCUGUAAAAAAGCUUGAGGAAGGUGGCUUGAGAUUCGUCUUAAGUGUUUAUAGCCUCUUGCCUAUGCAGUCGGAGAGAUUGAGGUCUGCAGCGUAGAUCCUUCGGGGCUAAAUGCAUUUGUGCUAAGUUAUAGCAUUUUAUAGACAACUUGUUGACUAUGAUUUGUCUUGUAGCUUACUCGCUUAUGUUAUUUUACCUACGCUUAGGAUGUUGAACGCGCACAGAGUCUC